rnacentral:rRNA from 1 species
AUUGAACGCUGGCGGCAUGCUUUACACAUGCAAGUCGAACGGCAGCGCGGGCUUCGGCCUGGCGGCGAGUGGCGAACGGGUGAGUAAUGCAUCGGAACGUGCCCAGUAGUGGGGGAUAGCCCGGCGAAAGCCGGAUUAAUACCGCAUACGACCUGAGGGUGAAAUCGGGGGACCGAAAGGCCUCGCGCUAUUGGCGCGGCCUAUGUCGGAUUAGCUAGUUGGUGGGGUAAAGGCUUACCAAGGCGACGAUCCGUAGCUGGUCUGAGAGGACGACCAGCCACACUGGGACUGAGACACGGCCCAGACUCCUACGGGAGGCAGCAGUGGGGAAUGUUGGACAAAGGGGGCAACCCUGAUCCAGCCAUGCCGCGUGCGGGAAGAAGGCCUUCGGGUUGUAAACCGCUUUUGUUCGGGAAGAAAUCCUCUGGGCUAAUACCCCGGGGGGAUGACGGUACCGGAAGAAUAAGCACCGGCUAACUACGUG